GGUCCUAUCGUCUAGUGGUUAGGACGCUGGCCUCUCACGCCGGUAACACGGGUUCGAAUCCCGUUGGGACCACCA
rnacentral:tRNA from 4 species